rnacentral:tRNA from 1 species
AUUUAAAUAGCUUAUAAUUAUAGAGUAUAAUAUUGAAGAUAUUAGGGAGAUAUAUUUUAUCUUUAAAUA